GUGCUGGCUUUGGCAGCAUUUAUACUAAAACUGGAACGAUGUGGAGAAGAAGAGCAUGACCCCUGUGCGAGGUUGACGUGAAAAAUUUGUUGUUACAUUUUUUU